rnacentral:rRNA from 1 species
UACGUAGGUGGCAAGCGUUAUCCGGAAUUAUUGGGCGUAAAGCGCGCGCAGGUGGUUUCUUAAGUCUGCUGUGAAAGCCCCGGGCUCAACCUGGGAAUGGCAGUGGAUACUGGCAAGCUAGAGUGCGGUAGAGGGUAGUGGAAUUCCCGGUGUAGCGGUGAAAUGCGUAGAGAUCGGGAGGAACACCAGUGGCGAAGGCGGCUACCUGGACCAGCACUGACACUGAGGCACGAAAGCGUGGGGAGCAAACAGGG